CAGUAGCCGCGGGAAUACGAAGGUCCCGAGCGUUGUUCGGAAUCACUGGGCGUAAAGGGAGCGUAGGCGGCGUGGUAAGUCAGACGUGAAAUCCCCGGGCUCAACCUGGGAACUGCAUUUGUGACUGGCAAGCUAGAGUGUGGCAGAGGGGGGUGGAAUUCCGCGUGUAGCAGUGAAAUGCGUAGAUAUGCGGAGGAACACCGAUGGCGAAGGCAGCCCCCUGGGCCAACACUGACGCUCAUGCACGAAAGCGUGGGGGGCAAACAGGAUUAGAUACCCCGGUAGUCCCUGUCUCUUAUAC
rnacentral:rRNA from 1 species